AUUGAACGCUGGCGGAAUGCUUUACACAUGCAAGUCGAGCGGCAGCGCGGGGCAACCUGGCGGCGAGCGGCGAACGGGUGAGUAAUACAUCGGAACGUACCCAGUUGUGGGGGAUAGCCCGGCGAAAGCCGGAUUAAUACCGCAUACGACCUGGGGGUGAAAGGGGGGGAUCGCAAGACCUCUCGCAGUUGGAGCGGCCGAUGGCGGAUUCGCUAGUUGGUAGGGUAAAGGCCUACCAAGGCGACGAUCCGUAGCGGGUCUGAGAGGACGACCCGCAAAACUGGAACUGAGACACGGUCCAGGCUCCGACGGGAGGCAGCAGUGGGGAGUUUUGGACAAUGGGGGCAACCCUGAUCCAGCCAUUCCGCGUGAGUGGAGAAGGCCUUCGGGUUGUAAAGCUCUUUCGGCAGGAACGAAACGGUCCUUUCUAAUAAAGAGGGCUAAUGACGGUACCUGAAGAAGAAGCACCGGCUAACUACGUGCCAGCAGCCGCGGUAAUAC
rnacentral:rRNA from 1 species